UAAAAGAGUGUGAAAAUCAUUAGAUCUAUUUGAUUGACCUGUAUUACUCGACACUGUUGAAUGUGUUACACUGUUUCUUGACAUUUCAUACUGCUGAAUCAUGAAGAGAAUGUUGUGUGCAGGAGACCUUGUGUCUAGAAUAGAAGAAACAGACCACAUUCCAUACCCCCACCUUUACGGAGAGCAGAAAAACAAGGAGCCGAGGUCAUAACUUAGGCGCCGUGUGAGAGAAAGAAUGUGAAUGUUUAGGCUUUUACGACUAGGUGGGGGCUACUAGGAGCUAUAAGAAGCUGAGUAACCCGUCACCAUUUUGAGACUUGCUGUGACCCUCUGCAGGCAGGUCUCCCCAUCAUGAUGGUUCUUAUGCUCUUAAGUGUUGAAUUAUAUGGAAAUAAAGUAUUGUUGAUCGAGCAUUUAUACACCGAGUAUUGUCCUUCCUUCAGCCCAAAGAUUAAAAGAAUUGGGAGAUUUUAACAAUUGCAACUGCAACUAAACAAUCACAAUGGAGAUAUGUAAGCUCAAAGGAAAGUCCAGCAGAUGAUGCUACAAGAGGGCUCAAGGCUGGGAACAUUGUUCAUAGCAGCCGCUGGAUCGAAGGACAAAGCUUUCUGCAGAAGCCAGAAAGUAAUUGGCCAACCAAUCUAAUGGAAUGCUCCUUAGAACCAGAGGACCCUGAAGUCAAAAGUGAGGCCACAGUGAAUGUUACUUGAGUAAAAGACUUGCUUGGUGCUACAUGUCAGUUGAUGGUGUACUUCUCAGACUGGAGAAGGCACAAGGUUGCUGUUGCUUGGUUCCUUAGACUGAAGGCAAUCCUUCGUUCAAUGAGAGAUAAGAAGAGAAGACCGCAACCUAACUUGGAUAACCCAAUUUGUAAAGGUACUACAAAGGAGAAAGUAAUGAAAACACAACUGUAUAGACUGUCUUCACAGGAUCUUCUGGAAGCUGAGCUUGCCAUUAUUAGAUUUUGAUAGCCACAAAGAUUUGGAGAGGAGAUAGCUGCGUUGUCAAGUGGGAAAGGUUCUGUGAGCAGGCACAGCUCAAUUUAUAGAUUAGAUCCUUAUCUUGAUGAUGAAGGCCUCUUAAGAGUUGGGGGACGACUGACAAAGGGCUCCUUGCCAGAAGAAAUGAAGCAUCCCUUUGUUCUUGCAAAGGAUCAACAUGUAGCAAGUCUCAUCCUAGAGCACAUUCAUCAACAGCUUGGUCAUAGCGGUCGUAACCACACCUUAUCCACAGUAAGGAGAAAAUACUGGAUCACAAAGGCCAACUCAGCUGUAAGGAAAGUUAUCGCAGAAUGUAAUUUUUGCAGAAAAUAUCAUGGAAAAGCCUUGGAGCAAAAGAUGCCAGAUUUACCCAAGGAAAGUCAGAGUUGAUUACUUCGGACCUAUUGAAGUGAAAAGAGGACCAGGUACAGCUAAAUGUUAUGGAGUCAUUUUCACCUGUUUAGCCAACCGAGCAUUGCACUUGGAAGUGGCUAGCUCUCUAAGCACAGAUGCCUGCAUUAAUGCUUUGCGCCAUUUUGUGAGUGGAAGAGGUCAAGUCGCUCACAUCCAAUCGGACAAUGGAACCAACUUUGGUGGAGCAGACAGAGAAUUAAGGGAGGCUCUUGAAUCACUGAAACAUACUCAAAUAGCGGAUGCUUUGUGACACAUUGGAAUAAAAUGGAGUUUUAAUCCGCCUGGAGCAUCACAUCAUGGUGGAAUUUGGGAACGGAUAAUUCGUAUGAUCAGAAAUAUUCUGAGAUCUGUUCUUCAGCAACAACAGUUGGACGACGAUGGAUUAAAUACGGUUCUGUGUGAAAUUGAAGCAAUUCUAAAUGACAGACCCAUCACAAAGCUUUCUGAUGAUCCAAAAGACCUAGAGCCACUUACACCAAAUCACAUCCUCCUGAUGAAAGGAAAACCAUCUUUACCACCCAGACUAUUUGACCCUCAGGAUAUGUAUCUGAAGAGAAGAUGGAAACAGGCUCAGUACAUCUCAGAUCUUUUUUGGAAACGAUGGAUACGUGAAUACCUGCCUUUGUUACAGGAGAGACAAAAAUGGAACCAAAGGAAGAAGAAUCUAAAACCUGGAGAUAUGGUGAUUAUAAUGGAUUCUUCUGCACCACGUGGUUCCUGGCCACUUGGAAAAGUUCCGGAAACCAUUCAUGACAAAAAAGGACUUGUGCGAUCUGCACCUUUAAAAACAAAGACUAAUAUUCUGGAAAACCUGUAACUUAACUUUGCUUGUUACAUGAGACUGUAAUCUAAAAUGAAUGUAUAUGUCUAAAGUAGUCUGUAUUAGUGGCUCCUUAUUUUCUUUGUGAUUAGAAUUGCCAUGUCUGAUAGCCAUUGGAAUUAGGGGCUGGGGUGUAGGAGCCAUUUUUGGGUUAAUACCUUAUGUGGCCGCUAGAGGUCACCUUUUUCUGUUUUGUUCAUGUAAAGGUAUUUAAGGUAGACGCAUGUAAUCAGCGUCAGGUGUGUCGUUAAUUGUGAGAAGGCAAACAGUUUGUGACCGCUGCGCUGUCAUGUCAAGAAGGUAUUGGAAUAAAGAACAAAAAGGACAAGAUACGUACUGCUGGAUUCAUUGGACU
ensembl:lncRNA